CUCCCAAAAUAAACUACCGCCCUCCCUCUAUUUCAUUUCCUAACUCCUGUCUUUUGGGAUUUUUGAGUUACCAAAAAUGGAUCCCAAUAACUCCAAUCUCUAGCCACCAUGGCAGCCCGAUCUUCAUACCAACUUGAAGCCCACACUUCCCUCUUCACCAUCCACCCAAUCACUGGCCUUAACUCCGGUAGAAAUCGAGUGAAAAUCGCCCAAAAACAGCCUGCCAGCUCACUUAAAAAUGGCCGGUAUCUCCACUUCCGGCGACACCCAGACUAUGCCCAUCAUCCAGGUUGAUCAAGCACCUAAUUCCACUCCUAAUGUUGUAUUUAUAACAUCAAACAAAGCUGAAAAUCCAAAUCCAUAGCAAAUUUCGUCUACAGCAAAACUGGACAGUUCAAACCCAAAUUCCGGCGCCGACGAUGCAAACCAAUUUGGCGGACCACCUCCCCUACCACCGCCUCAUCAUGAGGAAGCUUUUGCACAUAUGGGUCAUAGCAAUUUGGACUCAAUACGGACGAACAGGAAAAUUACAAGGCAAAAUAUGGGACAGCAACAAUGAAUGUUUGCAUAUGGAAAAUGGACAGAUGUGCCUCGUGACAACUGCACUUGAGAAAAAAUGGAUGAACCUGUCAUUUAUUUUGUAUCUUUUUGGAUAAAGAUUAAUGGAUGAAGUUUCUUUAAGCGUUUUUACUUCUUCUUUGCCAAGUGAAUUCAUUGUAUGGGAUUCUAGUUUAGUAAUCCAUUUUAUGUGAUUCACUAAUCA